GAUGAAGAACGCAGCGAAAUGCGAUAAGUAAUGUGAAUUGCAGAAUUCAGUGAAUCAUCGAAUCUUUGAACGCACAUUGCGCCCGCCAGUAUUCUGGCGGGCAUGCCUGUUCGAGCGUCAUUUCAACCCUCAAGCCCUGCUUGGUGUUGGGUGCCGGCACGCGCGCCUCCGGGCGCCGGCCGCCCCCGAAAUGAAUUGGCGGUCUCGUCGCAGCCUCCCUCGCGUAGUAGUAAAACAUCUCGCUUGGUGGAGUGCGGCGCGGCCACGCCGUAAAACCUCUUAAUUUUUUUUUAAGUUGACCUCGGAUCAGGUAGGAAUACCCGCUGAACUUAAGCAUUUCAAUAAGCGGAGGA
rnacentral:misc_RNA from 1 species